rnacentral:sRNA from 1 species
AUACCAAACAACGAGUUAUCGAAGUUGUUAGUUUUACGUCUUGCUCUUGUUUCUCGAAUCCUGAA